rnacentral:lncRNA from 1 species
GCAAAUUGAAUAGCCAAUUUUGAAAACAUAAAUUAAGUUCAAAGAAUAAAAUAAAGAGUAAUUGGCACAAACGUCUCUACCUUUCAAGUUUAUUAUUGAAAACAUCCAUACCUUUCAUUUUUUGACAUUUUUGUCCCUACCUUCCACAUUUCUUUGCACAAAAGGUCCUUUUGAUAAUUUUACCCUCCAUUAAAACGAAACAAAAAGAAAAGUAAAGAAAAAAUAAAGAAUUAAUUGCAAUUAUGGUCCCAAAAUUUU